UGAAGACUUACACCGAACGAUUCAAUUUCUUCAACAAAGAAAUGUUAAUGUUGUUCACGAUGAACGUGACCUUAAUACUAUUCAUAUUCAUGAGGCAAAGAAAAAACACAAAGCAACAUCAAAGGAGAUAAAAAAGGCUAUCGCUUCUG